GGAAAGGCGCGCGAUACAGGGUGACAGCCCCGUACACAAAAAUGCACAUGCUGUGAGCUCGAUGAGUAGGGCGGGACACGUGGUAUCCUGUCUGAAUAUGGGGGGACCAUCCUCCAAGGCUAAAUACUCCUGACUGACCGAUAGUGAACCAGUACCGUGAGGGAAAGGCGAAAAGAACCCCGGCGAGGGGAGUGAAAAAGAACCUGAAACCGUGUACGUACAAGCAGUGGGAGCACAGAGCAAUCUGUGUGACUGCGUACCUUUUGUAUAAUGGGUCAGCGACUUAUAUUCUGUAGCAAGGUUAACCGAAUAGGGGAGCCGAAGGGAAACCGAGUCUUAACUGGGCGUUAAGUUGCAGGGUAUAGACCCGAAACCCGGUGAUCUAGCCAUGGGCAGGUUGAAGGUUGGGUAACACUAACUGGAGGACCGAACCGACUAAUGUUGAAAAAUUAGCGGAUGACUUGUGGCUGGGGGUGAAAGGCCAAUCAAACCGGGAGAUAGCUGGUUCUCCCCGAAAGCUAUUUAGGUAGCGCCUCGUGAAUUCAUCUCCGGGGGUAGAGCACUGUUUCGGCAAGGGGGUCAUCCCGACUUACCAACCCGAUGCAAACUGCGAAUACCGGAGAAUGUUAUCACGGGAGACACACGGCGGGUGCUAACGUCCGUCGUGAAGAGGGAAACAACCCAGACCGCCAGCUAAGGUCCCAAAGUCAUGGUUAAGUGGGAAACGAUGUGGGAAGGCCCAGACAGCCAGGAUGUUGGCUUAGAAGCAGCCAUCAUUUAAAGAAAGCGUAAUAGCUCACUGGUCGAGUCGGCCUGCGCGGAAGAUGUAACGGGGCUAAACCAUGCACCGAAGCUGCGGCAGCGACGCUGAUGCGUUGUUGGGUAGGGGAGCGUUCUGUAAGCCUGUGAAGGUGUGCUGUGAGGCAUGCUGGAGGUAUCAGAAGUGCGAAUGCUGACAUAAGUAACGAUAAAGCGGGUGAAAAGCCCGCUCGCCGGAAGACCAAGGGUUCCUGUCCAACGUUAAUCGGGGCAGGGUGAGUCGACCCCUAAGGCGAGGCCGAAAGGCGUAGUCGAUGGGAAACAGGUUAAUAUUCCUGUACUUGGUGUUACUGCGAAGGGGGGACGGAGAAGGCUAUGUUGGCCGGGCGACGGUUGUCCCGGUUUAAGCGUGUAGGCUGGUUUUCCAGGCAAAUCCGGAAAACUAAGGCUGAGGCGUGAUGACGAGGCACUACGGUGCUGAAGCAACAAAUGCCCUGCUUCCAGGAAAAGCCUCUAAGCAUCAGGUAACAUCAAAUCGUACCCCAAACCGACACAGGUGGUCAGGUAGAGAAUACCAAGGCGCUUGAGAGAACUCGGGUGAAGGAACUAGGCAAAAUGGUGCCGUAACUUCGGGAGAAGGCACGCUGAUAUGUAGGUGAAGUCCCUCGCGGAUGGAGCUGAAAUCAGUCGAAGAUACCAGCUGGCUGCAACUGUUUAUUAAAAACACAGCACUGUGCAAACACGAAAGUGGACGUAUACGGUGUGACGCCUGCCCGGUGCCGGAAGGUUAAUUGAUGGGGUCAGCGCAAGCGAAGCUCUUGAUCGAAGCCCCGGUAAACGGCGGCCGUAACUAUAACGGUCCUAAGGUAGCGAAAUUCCUUGUCGGGUAAGUUCCGACCUGCACGAAUGGCGUAAUGAUGGCCAGGCUGUCUCCACCCGAGACUCAGUGAAAUUGAACUCGCUGUGAAGAUGCAGUGUACCCGCGGCAAGACGGAAAGACCCCGUGAACCUUUACUAUAGCUUGACACUGAACAUUGAGCCUUGAUGUGUAGGAUAGGUGGGAGGCUUUGAAGUGUGGACGCCAGUCUGCAUGGAGCCGACCUUGAAAUACCACCCUUUAAUGUUUGAUGUUCUAACGUUGACCCGUAAUCCGGGUUGCGGACAGUGUCUGGUGGGUAGUUUGACUGGGGCGGUCUCCUCCUAAAGAGUAACGGAGGAGCACGAAGGUUGGCUAAUCCUGGUCGGACAUCAGGAGGUUAGUGCAAUGGCAUAAGCCAGCUUGACUGCGAGCGUGACGGCGCGAGCAGGUGCGAAAGCAGGUCAUAGUGAUCCGGUGGUUCUGAAUGGAAGGGCCAUCGCUCAACGGAUAAAAGGUACUCCGGGGAUAACAGGCUGAUACCGCCCAAGAGUUCAUAUCGACGGCGGUGUUUGGCACCUCGAUGUCGGCUCAUCACAUCCUGGGGCUGAAGUAGGUCCCAAGGGUAUGGCUGUUCGCCAUUUAAAGUGGUACGCGAGCUGGGUUUAGAACGUCGUGAGACAGUUCGGUCCCUAUCUGCCGUGGGCGCUGGAGAACUGAGGGGGGCUGCUCCUAGUACGAGAGGACCGGAGUGGACGCAUCACUGGUGUUCGGGUUGUCAUGCCAAUGGCACUGCCCGGUAGCUAAAUGCGGAAGAGAUAAGUGCUGAAAGCAUCUAAGCACGAAACUUGCCCCGAGAUGAGUUCUCCCUGACUCCUUGAGAGUCCUGAAGGAACGUUGAAGACGACGACGUUGAUAGGCCGGAUGUGUAAGCGCAGCGAUGCGUUGAGCUAACCGGUACUAAUGAACCGUGAGGCUU
rnacentral:rRNA from 1 species